rnacentral:rRNA from 1 species
CGGCGGACGGGUGAGUAACACGUGGAUAACCUACCUAUAAGACUGGGAUAACUUCGGGAAACCGGAGCUAAUACCGGAUAAUAUAUUGAACCGCAUGGUUCAAUAGUGAAAGACGGUUUUGCUGUCACUUAUAGAUGGAUCCGCGCCGCAUUAGCUAGUUGGUAAGGUAACGGUUUACCAAGGCAACGAUGCGUAGCCGACCUGAGAGGGUGAUCGGCCACACUGGAACUGAGACACGGUCCAGACUCCUACGGGAGGCAGCAGGU